GACAUGUGGGGCGAGCGUUGUUCGGAAUCACUGGGCAUAAAGGGUGCGUAGGCGGCUUGUUAAGUCAGGGGUGAAAGUUUUCGGCCCAACCGGAAAAUGGCCUUUGAUACUGGCGAGCUGGAGUGCGUGAGGGGUGACUGGAACGAGUGGUGUAGCGGUGAAAUGCGUAGAGAUCACUCGGAAGGCCAACGGCGAAGGCAGGUCACUGGUACGCAACUGACGCUGAGGCACGAAAGCGUGGGGAGCAAACAGG
rnacentral:misc_RNA from 1 species